UACGUAGGGGGCGAAGCGUUGUCCGGAAUCAUUGGGCGUAAAGCGCGCGUAGGCGGCCCGGUCAGUCCGUUGUGAAAGUCGAAGGCUCAACCUUCGAAUGCCGAUGGAUACUGCCGGGCUAGAAUCCGGAAGAGGCGAGUGGAAUUCCUGGUGUAGCGGUGGAAUGCGCAGAUAUCAGGAGGAACACCAAUAGCGAAGGCAGCUCGCUGGGACGGUAUUGACGCUGAGGCGCG
rnacentral:rRNA from 1 species